rnacentral:rRNA from 1 species
AGUAGACUUCAAAUAGUCUACAAUGCCGAGCACCAUUCGGCGGUUUCGCAGAUAGGUCAAUUCUCGCAAGUAAGGUAUCUUUUGCUCCGCUUAUUUGAUAUAGCAUUCCUUGGAACAGGACGUCACAGAGGGUGAGAAUCCCGUGCGAUGAGGAGUCCAAUUCUAUGUAAAGUUCCUUCGAAGAGUCGAGUUGUUUGGGAAUGCAGCUCUAAGUGGGUGGUAAAUUCCAUCUAAAGCUAAAUAUUGGCGAGAGACCGAUAGCGAACAAGUACAGUGAUGGAAAGAUGAAAAGAACUUUGAAAAGAGAGUGAAAAAGUACGUGAAAUUGUUGAAAGGGAAGGGCUUUUGAUCAGACUUGGUGUUUAGUACUCUCUGCUCCUUGUGGGUGGGGCUCUUGCUUUAUACUGGGCCAGCAUCGGUUUUGAUGGCAGGAUAAUGACUUUGGAACGUGGCUUCAUUCGUGAAGUGUUAUAGCCUUUGUUGAUACUGCCUAUCGAGACCGAGGACUGCGUCUUUGACUAGGAUGCUGGCGUAAUGAUUAAAAGCC